GUGCUCCUUCCACAGCACAUAUACUAAAACUGGAACAAUACAGAGAAGAUAGCACGGCUCAUGCACAAGGAUGACAUGCAAAUUCGUGAAGUGUUCCGUAUUUUU